rnacentral:rRNA from 1 species
UACGUAGGAUCCAAGCGUUGUCCGGAUUUACUGGGUGUAAAGGGUGCGCAGGCGGACGGGUAAGUCAGAGGUGAAAUCUCGUCGCUUAACGAAGAAACUGCCUUUGAUACUAUCAGUCUUGAGUCCGGUAGAGAUCGGUGGAAUUCCGAGUGUAGCAGUGAAAUGUGUAGAUAUUCGGAAGAACACCAGUGGCGAAGGCAGCAGAUUGGGCCGGUACUGACGCUCAGGGACGAAAGCGUGGGGAUCAAACAGG